AAAAGACUGUUUAAAAGCAUGGUUGAAAGUUUUGAAAAGUCAAGUCUUGUGCUCGAGUCAAGGUCACCUGAAAUGUCAGAGUAAGCCACAAGAUAAAACAAGCUAAUUUUAUGGACACCUUCUCCGACAAGUGCUCCUAUGUAUUUGUUCUUGCACUGGCAGACGUGGGUUAAUCUCAGCCAGAGAUUCUGAAAUCAAGCUGAGACACAAGCUGCUGGCUAAGAGGCAUGACCCAGGGCAGGAUGUACAU